rnacentral:rRNA from 1 species
UACGGAGGAUCCGAGCGUUAUCCGGAUUUAUUGGGUUUAAAGGGUGCGUAGGCGGAAGAAUAAGUCAGUGGUGAAAGUUUGCAGCUCAACUGUAAAAUUGCCGUUGAAACUGUUUUUCUUGAGUGUAAAUGAGGUAGGCGGAAUGUGUUGUGUAGCGGUGAAAUGCUUAGAUAUGACACAGAAUACCGAUUGCGAAGGCAGCUUACUAAGAUACAACUGACGCUGAGGCACGAAAGCGUGGGGAUCGAACAGGAUUAGAUACCCUGGUAGUCCACGCAGUAAACGAUGAUUACUAGCUGUUUGCGAUAUACUGUAAGUGGCUAAGCGAAAGCGAUAAGUAAUCCACCUGGGGAGUACGUUCGCAAGAAUGAA